rnacentral:rRNA from 1 species
GGAUCAUGGCUCAGGAUGAACGCUAGCUACAGGCUUAACACAUGCAAGUCGAGGGGCAGCAUGGUCUAGCAAUAGACUGAUGGCGACCGGCGCACGGGUGAGUAACACGUAUCCAACCUGCCGAUUAUUCCGGGAUAGCCUUUCGAAAGAAAGAUUAAUACUGGAUAGCAUAACGAGAAGGCAUCUUCUUGUUAUUAAAGAAUUUCGAUAAUCGAUGGGGAUGCGU